GACGGUCGGAUGGUCGCCUCGCCCUUUCAUUCAUGGAAGGUGUGGGGAGGAAAGUCCGGGCUCCACGGGAACGCGGCGCCGGGUAACGCCCGGCGGGGGCGACCCCAGGGAAAGCGCCACAGAAAGCAAACCGCCCACCGAAGCCUCGGCGAAGGUGGGUAAGGGUGAAAGGGUGCGGUAAGAGCGCACCGCGUCCCCGGCGACGGGGACGGCACGGCAAGCCCCGCCGGGAGCAAGACCAAAUAGGGGCGGCGAGCCGGCGUUAGCGCCGGCAGGCGGGUUUCCGCGCCGCCGCCCGGGUAGGUCGCGCGAGGCGUCCGGUAACGGACGUCCCAGAUGAAUGGCCAUCCUCCGCCUUCGGGCGGAGACAGAACCCGGCUUACAGACCGUCUG
rnacentral:RNase_P_RNA from 1 species